UACGAGGGGGGCGAGCGUUGUUCGGAAUUAUUGGGCGUAAAGGGUGCGUAGGCGGUUUGGUAAGUCUUAUGUGAAAUCUACAGGCUCAACUUGUAGUCUGCAUGAGAAACUGCCGGGCUUGAGUAUGGGAGAGGUGAGUGGAAUUCCUGGUGUAGCGGUGAAAUGCGUAGAUAUCAGGAGGAACACCUGUGGCGAAAGCGGCUCACUGGACCAUAACUGACGCUGAUGCACGAAAGCGAGGGGAGCAAACAGG
rnacentral:rRNA from 1 species